UUUUUGUGUUUAUUCCCUUGUAGGGAACGACUGCUCGUACUGUAGUCCGCAAACACAAUCAGAUUCAUUAACAUCUAAACAACAUCUCAAACAAGAACAACAACCAAUAGUACAGGAGUCCAGUGCAUGUGUUUAAGCUGAGUCACCCAGGAUAAGGACAUAUUGAGUAUGAUGCUCAUGAAGGGCCCUGAUGUUUAUGGCUGACAACUCCAAUUUAUGUUGCUCCCUUCACAAGCCCCCAACCACAUGUGGCACUCCUAAAGAUGAGAGGGAAGGAGUCGGGAAGAGAGGAAUGCAGUGAAGUGAUUCUCUUUUUUAUGGCCAUCUGUUGGACAUGCUCACUGGUAUGAAGGUGAUCCUCAGUAGAUAUUACUCCAGACAUUAGCUAAUAUGACUGAUCUUGGACCUGUUUGACCAUAAACGGCAGUCCUGUCAGGAUGACUCCAGAUUUGGUUCUCGAAAAAUUAAUUAUUAUUUUUUUAUUGUUUUCUAUCAUGAGGUCUUAGAGGAGAGUCAGCUGUUUACAGAGUGCUGGCAAAUUUAGGUUCAUAGUAAGAAAUUAACUUUCAGUGGAUCGUUUGCAGUAAUGAAUAAUACACUUAUUGCAUUUAAUCCACCUAUUCUAUUCUAUGUCAGCAAGUACUUUUGAGCUUCUUGAUUUAUUACAUUAUACUAUUCGGGCAACUUAUUAAAUGAAUGUGUUUUAUGAUUUUAUUUUGUUUUUUAAGCUAUUAAUCAGUCUUCCCGUGGUGGCUUCAACACUCACAGUUGUUUCCUCAGCUCUUCGGGUCUUGCUGUGCUCUGGGAAACGCAAUGGUCUCCCAGCCAUUUGACAGAUUUAUUUUUGGAGCAUUUGCCGUUGUUGGAAAGAGUAGUAGAUCCAUCUGUCAUGACAACAAGGAUUUCAUUAUAACUCACAGCUUUGCGGUGAACAUUUGUAGGAUUCUCAAUCGAACCUCUGACCGCAACAUUACCAUCAGAUUCAUCCCAAAUAAUAAAACACAGAUUUGAACAUUGUUGCAGCAUGUGGAGGGAUCAGAAUUUUAGAUCCAAGUCCAAAGGAGAUAAAUGUGUAUAAACUCGAUCUUUUCAUCGAGAUCACAGUCUAGAAGGAACAGACUGUUGUUUCUCACCUCUGUUUCCAUGCUGAGACGCAUUCUUUUCUUCCGGUAAUAAAACAUAGGCUAUCUAUUCCUCUAACAGUUAAUUCAAUGUGAGUCUGAAGAGAUGACGGCAAAGCCUGGUUUGCUGCAGUCACUGUGUGCACAAAAUGUUUUCUGUUUUCACAUGCAAGAAAUGAACUUGAAUAUAUCGCUGCACAGCAUACCCAGUGAACAGGGAGCAUUCUGAGAACUUUCUGUCGAGGUUCUCUCAAAGUUCGGAACAAAUACAACGUCUAUUCAAAGUGAUCUGGUGAUUAAUAGAGUGCCGAAGUUACGACGUCACUCUGUAAGCCAAAACGUGGAAGUGAGUUAGUGCU